GCCCAGAUGGUGCAGUGGUUAACACAACUGCCUAGUAAGCUGGAGAUCCUGGGUUCGAGUCCCAGUCUGGCAAAUGCU